GUGUCUGUGUGUUCAGGGAUUUGACACUGCUAUUCAAGCCCUCUGGUUGCCAUGGUGCCGCCUGCCUUAUAAGGGUAAUAGAGUCAAAGAGCAGUGAGUGGGCUGUAGCCACUCUACACAAACAACCAGGAAUGUGUUACCACACACACACGGUUAACCCCUCAAGGGACGACCAUAGGUACACUCAGCAUGCAUCUUAGGAUGGUGAAGACUUCCUAAGUGAAGAUCUCAACAUCAGAAGAGCUGCUUGCAGUUCUCUUAGGAUAGAGCGAUUGCGAGGACCAGGAAUUUCCCCUUCAACUUCUAUAUUUGCCAGGUUGUCAGCAAUUCUCUACAAUCGAGACCAACACCUGCUGGGUGGCUCUCCUCUCCUCCAACUCAUCCCGCAGACUGUCCAGGAUCAGAGCGCCAGCAGAAUCUUGGGCACUCUGGACCAUCAGCGCCAGGUCCAAACACCGUCUCUCUUUUUCCAGAAGCCGAAGAUUCCCACGCAUCUCUGACAUCUCCUCCUGAUGUUUUUGGAAAGUGAACUGGUGCGACCUCUGGUCCCUGUAAGCGUGCCAGUGUCAGGACUGAUCUUGCCCUCUCCUGCUUUGACCCGCUGCGGGAUACACAUUGCGGCCCUGUCCUGUUUCAGCCUGGCGAUCCUCUGGAGAAUUACACCAGCCUGGCCCUCAAACUCCUGUCCCGAUAAGCUGGAGUGUACAGAAAAAGAGAGAGAGAGGCUUUUCAGAACUAAGAUGACGUCUGUUUCAUUAUCAGACCAAAAUAAGUGGAUUGAUUGAAUUGGUUUGGGAAGCGCUGCUCUCUAGUGGACUGGAGGAUGGCUCGCCUUUGUCCGUGUUCACUUCUGAGAAGUCAGACUGCGGUGUGCUUAUUUGUUCUCUUUUCUAUCUCGGCCUGAAGCACAGAAUCAACGGUGCAGGGAGAUGAAGGGGAGUCCGGCCUGGAGCCAGGCAGUUUGCGGGACAGCAGAGGGGAUCCAGGAUAUGGAGGAGAGGAAAAGGAAGGGCUCGAAGUUCGACUAGAGGACAAUGAUGGACUAACAGGAGGAGAACGACUCACUCCGUACAGCCACUUCCUCUUCAGGUCCACUAACUGCCAAAAGAUGAGUUCAACAACAGUGAAAGGGGAAGAGCAGAGGGGUAUGAGAUCCCCAAAUCGCUCUCCAUCUCCUCCAGCACCUGGAUCAGAUUACAGAGAUCAGAGCCUGAGGGAGUUCAGACGCAGUCGAGUGCAUGCAUGCUACUGCGAGAGGCUGGAUGAGCACCUGUGUGGCCUUCACCCAGCUCUCCCGGGCUGCAGAGAGAUGGUGUGCUUGAACUAUCUCCGAAUUCUGCGUUUGAAGCCUGAGCAUCUUCCUCCCAUGACCGCUAGAGGUCUCGAGAGCAGAGAGGACCUUCUGUAGAUCGUUCCAAAGAUCACUGCUG